CAGUCGCCGCGGGAAUACAGAGGGUGCGAGCGUUAAUCGGAUUUACUGGGCGUAAAGCGUGCGUAGGCGGCUUCUUAAUUCGGAUGUGAAAUCCCUGAGCUUAACUUAGGAAUUGCAUUCGAUACUGGGAAGCUAGAGUAUGGGAGAGGAUGGUAGAAUUCCAGGUGUAGCGGUGAAAUGCGUAGAGAUCUGGAGGAAUACCGAUGGCGAAGGCAGCCAUCUGGCCUAAUACUGACGCUGAGGUACGAAAGCAUGGGGAGCAAACAGGAUUAGAUACCCGUGUAGUCCCUGUCUCUUAUAC
rnacentral:rRNA from 1 species